rnacentral:rRNA from 1 species
CAGGUCUUGACAUCCUCUGACACUCCUAGAGAUAGGACGUUCCCCUUCCGGGGACAGAGUGACAGGUGGUGCAUGGUUGUCGUCAGCUCGUGUCGUGAGAUGUUGGGUUAAGUCCCGCAACGAGCGCAACCCUUGAUCUUAAUUGCCAGCAUUCAGUUGGGCACUCUAAGGUGACUGCCGGUGACAAACCGGAGGAAGGUGGGGAUGACGUCAAAUCAUCAUGCCCCUUAUGACCUGGGCUACACACGUGCUACAAUGGAUGGUACAAAGGGCUGCAAAACCGUGAGGUCGAGCCAAUCCCAUAAAACCAUUCUCAGUUCGGAUUGUAGGCUGCAACUCGCCUACAUGAAGCUGGAAUCGCUAGUAAUCGUGGAUCAGCAUGCCACGGUGAAUACGUUCCC